CUUGCAAGGGCGCCGCAGAAAGACAAGAAGCCCAAGAAGUCAACCUGGAAGUUUAAUUUGGACCUUACUCAUCCAGUAGAAGAUGGAAUUUUUGAUUCUGGAAAUUUUGAACAAUUUCUAUGGGAGAAGGUUAAAGUCAAUGACAAAACUGGAUAUCUCGGGAAUGUUGUUCACACUGAAUGCUUCAGGAAUAAAAUCACAUUCUUUCUCAGAAACAGUUCUCUAAAAGGUAUUUGAAAUACCUUACCAAGAAAUACCUUAAGAAGAGCAAUCUUCAUGAUUGGCUUCGAGUGGUUGCAUCUGACAGAAGACUUACGAACUUCAUUACUUCCAGAUUAGUCAAGAAGAUGAAUCAGAGUUGGAGGACUAGGCAAAGGCUUCCCUUGUAGGACUUUGCUUAUUAACAAAAUAAAUGAAGUAUAUGUGAGAAAUACCAAGAAAUUGGCUUUUAGUUUAUCACUGAAUAAGAAAAAAAUUGCACUCUUUAAAAAAAA